GGCUCUGUCUGCUAAUGGUUAGGCAACUGGGCUUUCAACCCAAAAAUCGGGGUUCGAUUCCCCGCAGAGUCA
rnacentral:tRNA from 1 species